AAGACUAUACUUUCAGGAUCAUUUCUAUAGUUUGUUGACUUGAAAAUGGUGUUUAAAGUGUUUGGUCUCGCCAACCGCGAUGAAUGAUGCGUGAUAUUUCCUUGCUGAGCGUGAAGCUGACAGAGAGUAAUGGGUUCACGUAUAUGUUUCUCUGUCAGUGAUGAUUGUUCCUUUAACUUCUUUUGUGGAGUAUGGAGGAAGGGAAUAUGAAUCAGAGAGGU
ensembl:snoRNA U3 Small nucleolar RNA U3